rnacentral:rRNA from 1 species
CCUACGGGAGGCAGCAGUGGGGAAUAUUGCGCAAUGGGGGAAACCCUGACGCAGCAACGCCGCGUGAGUGAGGAAGGACUUCGGUCUGUAAAGCUCUGUUAAUGAGGAAAAAAUGGUAGUUGGUCUAAUAGGCCGAUUAUUUGAUGGUACUCAUAGAGGAAGCACCGGCUAACUUCGUGCCAGCAGCCGCGGUAAUACGAAGGGUGCAAGCGUUGUUCGGAUUUAUUGGGCGUAAAGCGCGCGUAGGCGGACCCGCAAGUCAGAUGUGAAAUCUCGAGGCUCAACCUCGAAACUGCGUCUGAAACUACGGGUCUAGAAUCUCGGAGGGGGAAGGGGAAUUUCGCAUGUAGGGGUAAAAUCCGUAGAUAUGCGAAGGAACACCAGAGGCGAAGGCGCCUUCCUGGACGAGUAUUGACGCUGAGGCGCGAAAGCGUGGGGAUCAAACAGGAUUAGAUACCCUGGUAGUCCACGCUGUAAACGAUGAACACUAGGUAUUGGAGGAUUUGACCCCUUCAGUGCCGUAGCUAACGCGUUAAGUGUUCCGCCUGGGAAGUACGGUCGCAAGAACUAAAACUCAAAUUGAAUUGACGG